AUCCAGCUGACGAGUCCUAAAUGGAGCGAAAUGGGCAUCCUGGAU
rfam:Schistosoma curassoni strain Dakar, Senegal genome assembly, scaffold: SCTD_scaffold0000186